UGGACCCCUCUCCUCCCCCCUCCUCCUCCUCCCGCAGCUGGAGCAUUCACGGCCGCGCCGAGAUCACCCACCGCUACGAGAUCCUCGCCCGCGCCGGCUCCGGCGCCUACUCCGACGUCUACCGCGCCCGCCGCCGCUCCGAUGGCCGGCUCGUCGCCCUCAAGGAGAUCCACGACUACCAGAGCGCCUUCCGUGAAAUAGAGGCGCUGCAGAUCCUCCGCGGCGCGCCGAACGUCGUCGAGUUGUUAGAGUUUUUCUGGCAGGAGGACGGGGAGGAGG
rnacentral:misc_RNA from 1 species